UGUCAGUACAGACUGUAUUAAAGUGAAACCGCAAAUGGCUCAGUAAAUAAACAUUGAUUUACUAGAGUGAACUUGACUGUUCUUGGAUAACUGUGGUAAUUCUAGAGCUAAUACAUGCAACAAAGCCCUGACCACCUGUGGAAAGGGCGCUUUUAUUAGAUCAAAACCAUUCGCUCGGCUCGCCCGGGCGUCUGUAUGAUGAACCUAGAUAACACAGUAGGUCGCAUGGUCCUGGUACCGGCGACGUAUCUUUCAAAUGCCUGAACUUAUCAACUGUCGAUGGUAGACUCUGCGUCUACCAUGGCUCUUACGGGUAACGGGGGAUCAGGGUUCGAUUCCGGAGAGGGAGCCUGAGAAACGGCUACCACAUCCAAGGAAGGCAGCAGGCACGCAAAUUACCCACUCCCGGCACGGGGAGGUAGUGACAAAAAAUAACGAUACGGGACUCGUAUUGAGGCCUCGUAAUCGGAAUGAGUACACUUUAAAUCCUUUAACAAGGAUCCAUUGGAGGGAAAGUCUGGUGCCAGCAGCCGCGGUAAUUCCAGCUCCAAUAGCGUAUAUUAAAGUUGUUGCGGUUAAAAAGCUCGUAGUUGGUUCUGCGUCCCACGCUGUCGGUACACCGUUUGCCGGUGACACUGGCAUGUCGUGGAAUGUCCUGUCGGUGGCGGCCGGGCCUCUGGUCGGCGGGGCGACUCGUCCUUCCAAAGAACCCGGUCGCCGACUCUAUCCUACCGCGGUGCUCUUAACUGAGUGUCGAGGUAGGCCGACACGUUUACUUUGAACAAAUUAGAGUGCUUAAAGCAAGGCCAAAAUCUCCGCCUGAAUAGUGGUGCAUGGAAUAAUGGAACAGGACCUUGGUUCUAUUUUGUUGGUUUUCGGAACACAAGGUAAUGAUCAAUAUGGACAGGCGGGGGCAUUCGUAUUGCGACGUUAGAGGUGAAAUUCUUGGAUCGUCGCAAGACGCACUAGAGCGAAAGCAUUUGCCAAGUAUGUCUUAAUGAUCAAGAACGAAAGUAGAGUGAGAAUAAUUGAUCAAGAACGAAAGUUAGAGGUUCGAAGGCGAUCAGAUACCGCCCUAGUUCUAACCAUAAACGAUGCCAGCCAGCGAUCCGCCGAUGUUCCUCCGAUGACUCGGCGGGGAGCUUUCCCCGGGAAACCAAAGCUUUUGGGUUCCGGGGGAAGUAUGGUUGCAAAGCUGAAACUUAAAGGAAUUGACGGAAGGGCACCACCAGGAGUGGAGCCUGCGGCUUAAUUUGACUCAACACGGGAAACCUCACCAGGUCAGGACAUUGGAAUGAUUGACAGAUUGAUAGCUCUUUCUUGAUUCAGUGGGUAGUGGUGCAUGGCCGUUCUUAGUUGGUGGAUCGAUUUGUCUGGUUAAUUCCGAUAACGAACGAGACUCUAGCCUAUUAACUAGACGUUUCUGGUAUCGUAGCUACCAGCGAACAAUUUUCUUCUUAAGGGGACAGGCGGCUUUCAGCCGCACGAGAUUGAGCAAUAACAGGUCUGUGAUGCCCUUAGAUGUCCUGGGCCGCACGCGCGCUACACUGAAGGAAUCAGCGUGUACGUUCCCUUGGCCGAAAGGUCCGGGUAACCCGCUGAACCUCCUUCGUGCUAGGAAUUGGGGCUUGCAAUUGUUCCCCAUGAACGAGGAAUUCCCAGUAAGCGCGAGUCAUAAGCUCGCGUUGAUUACGUCCCUGCCCUUUGUACACACCGCCCGUCGCUACUACCGAUUGAAUGAUUUAGUGAGGUCUUCGGACUGGCGGUAAGCUUGACCGACUUGUCGGUUUUGAUGAACGCUGGAAAGAUGACCAAACUUGAUCAUUUAGAGGAAGUAAAAGUCGU
rnacentral:rRNA from 1 species